UAAUACAUGCAAGUCGAGCGAGCUUGCCUAGAUGAAUUUGGUGCUUGCACCAAAUGAAACUAGAUACAAGCGAGCGGCGGACGGGUGAGUAACACGUGGGUAACCUGCCCAAGAGACUGGGAUAACACCUGGAAACAGAUGCUAAUACCGGAUAACAACACUAGACGCAUGUCUAGAGUUUAAAAGAUGGUUCUGCUAUCACUCUUGGAUGGACCUGCGGUGCAUUAGCUAGUUGGUAAGGUAACGGCUUACCAAGGCAAUGAUGCAUAGCCGAGUUGAGAGACUGAUCGGCCACAUUGGGACUGAGACACGGCCCAAACUCCUACGGGAGGCAGCAGUAGGGAAUCUUCCACAAUGGACGCAAGUCUGAUGGAGCAACGCCGCGUGAGUGAAGAAGGGUUUCGGCUCGUAAAGCUCUGUUGGUAGUGAAGAAAGAUAGAGGUAGUAACUGGCCUUUAUUUGACGGUAAUUACUUAGAAAGUCACGGCUAACUACGUGCCAGCAGCCGCGGUAAUACGUAGGUGGCAAGCGUUGUCCGGAUUUAUUGGGCGUAAAGCGAGUGCAGGCGGUUCAAUAAGUCUGAUGUGAAAGCCUUCGGCUCAACCGGAGAAUUGCAUCAGAAACUGUUGAACUUGAGUGCAGAAGAGGAGAGUGGAACUCCAUGUGUAGCGGUGGAAUGCGUAGAUAUAUGGAAGAACACCAGUGGCGAAGGCGGCUCUCUGGUCUGCAACUGACGCUGAGGCUCGAAAGCAUGGGUAGCGAACAGG
rnacentral:rRNA from 1 species